rnacentral:rRNA from 1 species
CGGUCCACAUGCCCAAAACGCUGGAAGAGAGGAGCUUGCUCUUUCUUGGAUGAGUUGCGAACGGGUGAGUAACGCGUAGGUAACCUGCCUUGUAGCGGGGGAUAACUAUUGGAAACGAUAGCUAAUACCGCAUAACAAUGGAUGACACAUGUCAUUUAUUUGAAAGGGGCAAUUGCUCCACUACAAGAUGGACCUGCGUUGUAUUAGCUAGUAGGUGAGGUAACGGCUCACCUAGGCGACGAUACAUAGCCGACCUGAGAGGGUGAUCGGCCACACUGGGACUGAGACACGGCCCAGACUCCUACGGGAGGCAGCAGUAGGGAAUCUUCGGCAAUGGGGGCAACCCUGACCGAGCAACGCCGCGUGAGUGAAGAAGGUUUUCGGAUCGUAAAGCUCUGUUGUAAGUCAAGAACGAGUGUGAGAGUGGAAAGUUCACACUGUGACGGUAGCUUACCAGAAAGGGACGGCUAACUACGUGCCAGCAGCCGCGGUAAUACGUAGGUCCCGAGCGUUGUCCGGAUUUAUUGGGCGUAAAGCGAGCGCAGGCGGUUUGAUAAGUCUGAAGUUAAAGGCUGUGGCUCAACCAUAGUUCGCUUUGGAAACUGUCAAACUUGAGUGCAGAAGGGGAGAGUGGAAUUCCAUGUGUAGCGGUGAAAUGCGUAGAUAUAUGGAGGAACACCGGUGGCGAAAGCGGCUCUCUGGUCUGUAACUGACGCUGAGGCUCGAAAGCGUGGGGAGCGAACAGGAUUAGAUACCCUGGUAGUCCACGCCGUAAACGAUGAGUGCUAGGUGUUGGAUCCUUUCCGGGAUUCAGUGCCGCAGCUAACGCAUUAAGCACUCCGCCUGGGGAGUACGACCGCAAGGUUGAAACUCAAAGGAAUUGACGGGGGCCCGCACAAGCGGUGGAGCAUGUGGUUUAAUUCGAAGCAACGCGAAGAACCUUACCAGGUCUUGACAUCCCGAUGCUAUUUCUAGAGAUAGAAAGUUACUUCGGUACAUCGGUGACAGGUGGUGCAUGGUUGUCGUCAGCUCGUGUCGUGAGAUGUUGGGUUAAGUCCCGCAACGAGCGCAACCCCUAUUGUUAGUUGCCAUCAUUCAGUUGGGCACUCUAGCGAGACUGCCGGUAAUAAACCGGAGGAAGGUGGGGAUGACGUCAAAUCAUCAUGCCCCUUAUGACCUGGGCUACACACGUGCUACAAUGGUUGGUACAACGAGUUGCGAGUCGGUGACGGCAAGCUAAUCUCUUAAAGCCAAUCUCAGUUCGGAUUGUAGGCUGCAACUCGCCUACAUGAAGUCGGAAUCGCUAGUAAUCGCGGAUCAGCACGCCGCGGUGAAUACGUUCCCGGGCCUUGUACACACCGCCCGUCACACCUGCGAGAGUUUGUAGCAACCGAGAAAAAGGUUUACU